rnacentral:rRNA from 1 species
CAGUAGCCACGGUAAUACAGAGGGUGCGAGCGUUAAUCGGAUUUACUGGGCGUAAAGCGUGCGUAGGCGGCUUCUUAAGUCGGAUGUGAAAUCCCUGAGCUUAACUUAGGAAUUGCAUUCGAUACUGGGAAGCUAGAGUAUGGGAGAGGAUGGUAGAAUUCCAGGUGUAGCGGUGAAAUGCGUAGAGAUCUGGAGGAAUACCGAUGGCGAAGGCAGCCAUCUGGCCUAAUACUGACGCUGAGGUACGAAAGCAUGGGGAGCAAACAGUAUUAGAUACCCGCGUAGUCCCUGUCUCUUAUAC